UAAAAAAAAGAAACACACGAGCACGGCCUCUCCUCAAUGUGCACGGUACAGGCGCCGCCGCCACGCGCGGCCGGUCUUCCACUCCGUCUUGCCGCCACCCUGCUUCCCCCUCCCAUCCGCCGGCACAGCUGAGGUUGGGUACGCUGUUGUCCAGCGCCGGCGGCGAGCACGCUCCCCCGACUCCGUGUCCUUGUCCAACGCAAAUCAAUGGAGCUGCCGACCUGGGUUGUUGUUGGCUGCUAUAAGAAGGGAGAGUCCUCGGCUCGAAUAGCCAUCAGGUCAAUUUUGGACGAAGCAUCCAACGUCGACACCGAGUUCAAUGCAGGAAGAAGCGCCGAGUUCGCCGGAGGUAGAAGAAGCGCCGAGUUUGCCGGAGGUAGAAGAAUAGUCGUCGAUCCGUCCAAUGUCGCCUGCGUCGGCUACAGUAGAGACACCCAUGUUGUGUGGUUGGUCUGUUGAACAAAGCACUGGAACUGUCAGCAAUUCAUUCAGGUAGUGUUGUUCAAAAUUCAGUAAUUGCUGGUGGGUUCUGAUCCAUCUGGACGGAACUGAACUUCUAAACAUGCAGAGGCAUGCUAGAUAUAUAUAUUAUAUAUUAUAUAUACCAUCGUAGUCCCUCGACGCCGGUCAAUAUCCUUGCCGGAGCCUCGCCUGCCGGCUCCUUGGAGCACGCUGCCCGCCGGUGGACACCCAAUUGUGCGCGAACCCGCCGAGGACUGACCUCGCCACCUCUGUGCCUCCCCCAGGAUCUCCGCCACCGCCUUGUGCUGCUGUGGGCAAGGAUACCGCUGCCUCUCCCUGGUACAUCCAUCUCCACUUCCUCGGGGCGCUGCUCGCUGGCUCAUGACCUGCUAUAGAGUUGACGUUUGCGCACACAAGUUCCCCUGUCUGGCUCUGCCGGCUCCCGUAGUUGAGCAGAGCGAGGAGAUCGACAGAGGAAAUACUCACUUGAUUUUGCAAAUUAUGUUGGGCAUGGAGAUUGAUCUGUUAUUUUUGGUUGUCCCUAGAUUCAAGGAUGACAGCGCCCAAACCUUUCCCUGAUGUUUGGGCAAAGGUGUGUGUGUCUGAUGUGCGAGCAAAGCGACGAAACAAUGGUGGCUGGUUAUGUAUCUCGCGGGACUCGACGGUUACAGUUUCGGGAGCAGCACUGUUGCUUGCUAGCAUAUUUUUUCUUACAUAUAUGAACUGAUGAUGCUUUAUUUGGUGUUGUUUCCCAUGGCAGUACAUUAUGGCUUUGUUGACGAUGAUUUCUGCUAAUGUGCAUACAGCAGAGGAAUAGACCCGGCAAGGAAGAGAGCUACACCAAUGUAGUCGGUGGAAUUAACAAGCAAAGUAAAUCCUGAAGCUCCUGGUUGUAACAAGAGCAUUUGUGAUGGAUCGAUUUUGUGUUGGAGGCCGGGUCUGCACCUCUUACCACAGUCAGUUGUCAUCGGUGGCCAGCCAGCGACACUGGUGAAGGAAUGAGUGUGGCCGGAGAUCGUUUGGUGACGUCCGGUGCAUAUCACGUGACAGAGUGGAGGCGCAGACUCCCCUGCCCCAGCUUUGGCGCCGCCACCUACCAAUGCGCAGCACAAGCCUGACUGACACAGCCCAAAUCUUGAUUGUAAGUUUCUCAUCUUCUAUCUCUUGUUCAUGUGGUCACAUUGAUUUUGCCUUUUGAGAAAGGGUUGAAAGAAGAUUCUUUGCUUCAGACAACUGAAUGUCCAGUAAUAUCAUCAACCUUCAGCGAGCAGCGGCUCAGAACUCCAUCACCUCAAACGGCUUAGGAUAGAUUGAUGUUUCAUUCCACUUGCUUUCUGAUCCAAGUUUCAGCUGGUCCCGACCCAGCAUCUAUCUUCACUUUCAGUUAACAAACUGUAGACUAUGAAACUGAGGAAGACCCAAGGCUUUUGUGUUUUUACUAAAAAGUUUGAUUCUAAAAAUAUGCCCAGCAAUAUACAAGUUGUUUGCUAGCUAAUGGAUCAUUUAUACAGAUCUCGAGAGGGGAGUUGGACUGUGCCUUGAUAGAGCUAGACAAACUGAUAAAGAUUAUUUGAAAGGCUCUUUGCAAGCAUAAAGUGAAUCUGUAAUAGUCAACUUGUUAAUAUAGGUUGGCAAGUACAGCGUUUAUGUUUCUGAAAAUAUAUCACCAUUGUAGAUUCUGAUGAAAACUAUAUUCUCUGCCAGCCACAGAUUCAGAAUCAUGGCCUUUUGCUGCUAAGGUACAUAUUUUGAUUUCAGUUGUAUACCACGUGUUUGCUGUAAUGUUUGGCGGAGAUCAUAAAGUAAUUUUCUCUACCAAUGUUCAUAUUUCGAAAGACACAGUGUCAUGCAAGCGGCACCAUCACGGAGCAUGACGAGGCGUUGCAGUGAAGCUAUAGAGCGCGUUGUUCCACGGUGAGCUCCCAAAUUCACAUGGUGGAUUCUAGAUUACUGGAGCUAUACAAGGCAGCCAUGUGACAACAGAGUAAACUGGAGUGAAAUAAAGUGAUGGAGCCAAAGAAAGAGUGUAGGGCAGUCACGUGGCAUACACAAGGUGAAAGUUCUACAUAAAGACUAACAGAAACAUGGGAAAAUCACAAGGAUGUUCCAUUCAAUACAAACAUGUACAUGUUACAAAAUGGUUGUUUUGCACUGUAAUUUGGUUGAGUUUAGUUCUGGAGAAUGAGUAUGUUCGUUCGGUACUUAGCUUUUAGCAGUAUGUAGAAUAUGAAAGGAUUUGCUGGAAAUUGGGAUAAAUAAUAUGCGUGUGAACUAAAUUUUUUCUUUGAGCUCAUACUAAACGAGAAAAUGCUUCAAAUUUAUGAGGUUGCCUGGGAAGCUAAUGAAGACAGACCAGUGAAUGUUCACGCUUGAGAAUUCUUGGAUUUCUCUGCCACAUACAUAUGGUC